rnacentral:rRNA from 1 species
GACAGAGGAUGCAAGCGUUAUCCGGAAUGAUUGGGCGUAAAGCGUCUGUAGGUGGCUUUUUAAGUCUGCCGUCAAAUCCCAGGGCUUAACCUUGGACAGGCGGUGGAAACUACCAAGCUGGAGUACGGUAGGGGCAGGGGGAAUUUCCGGUGGAGCGGUGAAAUGCGUAGAGAUCGGAAAGAACACCAACGGCGAAAGCACUCUGCUGGGCCGACACUGACACUGAGAGACGAAAGCUAGGGGAGCGAAUGGG